CCUGGUUCUCAGGAGGGUAGGUAGCUUGCCAGUGUAAUACGGGGAUACCUACCGAGACGAACAGGCAGGAGUUAAACCCAGCCUGCCUGGCUCUGUCUAAAGGAAAUACAGCAACUAUUUGGUGGAUUUUAUAAGCCCUUUGAGAUUUGCAUCUUGAAAGGCACAUCCCUAUCUUCCCAAAAGAUGCUCCUUUCCACUUCGGCCAGAGGCAGCACGUUCAGCAGGAUAAAUGCUAGGGCUUACCCGAGGCGACAGGCCACGCUUCCUUACAACUCACGUUCUGUUGUUUCUAUAACCAAUGCUGUCUCCUCGAGUCUCACCAUGACCUCCUCCGCCUCCUCCAUACUCACCUGAAUAGUAAAUAGGAGAGAGCUGGAAGUUUAUAGGAAGGCCAAGAACCCAGUAGCUUUUCUCGCUAGAAUUCUGGAAGGAGGGGUAGACUUCCCUCGUCACUUCCACACUCUGUCCAGGUGUCUAAGUAAAAGCAGAGUUUUAAGAUGUUUUUAGUUUUCCACAACCAGCUGCCUUGUGGGAGGCGGAUGUUCCCAGUGUAAACGUGGUGCUCCCUGAAGUGCGAUCUGUGGGGCUCUGCUCUGCCCUGAACAACUAGUUGGAGCCACUCGUUUACAGAUUGGCCUCACAGGUGGUUCAUUCUGCCCAAGGGUAUGGAAUACUUGGGGCACUUUGGAGGGGGACCCGAAAGGCACUUCCAGGGCCUGUUGCCAAGGUGCUGGCCCUGUGGACCUACAGGAGCGACAUUACUGUCAUCAUCCUCUUCCCCCUUCCUGGGGGUUAAGUUGUCGGGGCUCAGCUGCCCAGAAAGAGAGGGGUGUCGUAAG